GACGGGGGGGGGCAAGUGUUCUUCGGAAUGACUGGGCGUAAAGGGCACGUAGGCGGUGAAUCGGGUUGAAAAGUGAAAAGUCGCCAAAAAAGUGGCGGAAUGCUCUCGAAAACCAAUUCACUUGAGUGAGACAGAGGAGAGUGGAAUUUCGUGUGUAGGGGGUGAAAUCCGUAAAUAUACGAAGGAAACGCCAAAAGCGAAGGCAGCUCUCUGGGUCCCUACCCGACGCUGGGGUGCGAAAGCAUGGGGAGCGAACAGG
rnacentral:rRNA from 1 species